rnacentral:lncRNA from 1 species
CUGUUCUCCGCUGUUUGCUGGCGGGUGGGUGGUGCAGCUCAGCGAUGUGCUGCAACCACUGCAGGGGCUGCAGGGAGCACUGCCGCCAUCUGUGAUGUGGAUCAGACCACCCUGCCAUGCUUGUGGCUUGGGCCCAGCUCCCGUCCUUCACUGCGGGGCAGGAGGGUCAUUACAUGGUGCAGUGUUUGCAGACCCUCCUGCUGAAACGGAGGGUUUGAACCUGUAAUUGGCGCUGGCCCUACACAGGCAUGGGGCACAAGGCAGGAAGAGCUAUGUGGUGUCGGAAACGGGAGGGCAAGGGGCUCACUGCCCCUGCUGGAGACUGUGGCUGGGAUGUCCUGUUCAGGGCAUCAUCUGCACCUGCAUGUCCUUGUAGCAUCAGCAGCGCCAGCAGUGCCUUCCUGGUGCUUUUCCAUGGAUCCAAUUCUUGUGUCCCUUCUGGGUGAUGGGUUGUGCUCUGCAGCAGCAGCAUGAGGAAGGAAAGUGUGAUUGGUGAGAUGGGGCCACGGCUGCACUUUAAAGGCUUUGAUAGCAAUCACCGUGAGCAGAUGAGGAAGCAUUACAGCAAGCUGCGCACUGAGCCUGGACCAUGCAGCCUCUCCAGUGUGCUCACCUGCUCCUCCUGCUUGCCCUGCUUGCCUUCUGCUUGCCCUCAGGCUGGGCGGAGGACAACAGCACCAUGACAAAUGGGGCACCAGACCAGAGCCCGCCCUGCGGCAGCCCGGCCCUCCUGUCCCUCGCACUGGGGCUGGCUGCGUUCCUCCUGCGGCUGUGCUGAGCUGGGCCCGAAGACCCCUGCAGGCCGGCAUCCCCCUGCUCCGGAUCUCCGCCGCCAGGCCCAGCCAGCUCCUGUCCCCGUGUUCCCGCAGCGCUUCCCUAUGGCCGCAGCCUCCAGGAGGACCAACUCCAAGCACAGCCUCCGCAGUUGUGCUGUGAAGCUCUGAGAAAUAAAGUACGAGGCUCUAACGCGUUUGUUCUAGUGCUGUUACGGGCUGGCAUUGGGGGGCGCUCGCUGAGGGGAGGACGAGGCCCGCUCGCG